rnacentral:rRNA from 1 species
ACGCUGGCGGCAGGCCUAACACAUGCAAGUCGAGCGGUAGAGAGAAGCUUGCUUCUCUUGAGAGCGGCGGACGGGUGAGUAAUGCCUAGGAAUCUGCCUGGUAGUGGGGGAUAACGUUCGGAAACGGACGCUAAUACCGCAUACGUCCUACGGGAGAAAGCAGGGGACCUUCGGGCCUUGCGCUAUCAGAUGAGCCUAGGUCGGAUUAGCUAGUUGGUGRGGUAAUGGCUCACCAAGGCGACGAUCCGUAACUGGUCUGAGAGGRUGAUCAGUCACACUGGAACUGAGACACGGUCCAGACUCCUACGGGAGGCAGCAGUGGGGAAUAUGGGACAAUGGGCGAAAGCCUGAUCCAGCCAUGCCGCGUGUGUGAAGAAGGUCUUCGGAUUGUAAAGCACUUUAAGUUGGGAGGAAGGGUUGUUAACUAAUACUCGGUUGUUUUGACGUUACCGACAGAAUAAGCACCGGCUAACUCUGUGCCAGCAGCCGCGGUAAUACAGAGGGUGCAAGCGUUAAUCGGAAUUACUGGGCGUAAAGCGCGCGUAGGUGGUUAGUUAAGUUGGAUGUGAAAUCCCCGGGCUCAACCUGGGAACUGCAUUCAAAACUGACUGACUAGAGUAUGGUAGAGGGUGGUGGAAUUUCCUGUGUAGCGGUGAAAUGCGUAGAUAUAGGAGGAACACCAGUGGCGAGGCGACCACCUGGACUGAUACUGACACUGAGGUGCGAAAGCGUGGGGAGCAAACAGGAUU